GACGAACCGUGCGAACGUUGUUCGGAUUCACUGGGCUUAAAGGGCGCGUAGGCGGGCAUCCAAGUCAGGGGUGAAAUCUUUCGGCCCAACCGGAAAAGUGCCUUUGAUACUGGGUGUCUCGAGUGAGGUAGGGGCAUGUGGAACUUCCGGUGGAGCGGUGAAAUGCGUAGAUAUCGGAAGGAACGCCGGUGGCGAAAGCGACGUGCUGGACCUCAACUGACGCUGAGGCGCGAAAGCCAGGGGAGCAAACGGG
rnacentral:rRNA from 1 species